rnacentral:rRNA from 1 species
GAUGAACGCUGGCGGCGUGCCUAAUACAUGCAAGUCGAGCGAAUGGAUUAAGAGCUUGCUCUUAUGAAGUUAGCGGCGGACGGGUGAGUAACACGUGGGUAACCUGCCCAUAAGACUGGGAUAACUCCGGGAAACCGGGGCUAAUACCGGAUAAUAUUUUGAACUGCAUGGUUCAAAAUUGAAAGGCGGCUUCGGCUGUCACUUAUGGAUGGACCCGCGUCGCAUUAGCUAGUUGGUGAGGUAACGGCUCACCAAGGCAACGAUGCGUAGCCGACCUGAGCGGGUGAUCGGCCACACUGGGACUGAGACACGGCCCAGACUCCUACGAGAGGCAGCAGUAGGGAAUCUUCCGCAAUGGACGAAAGUCUGACGGAGCAACGCCGCGUGAGUGAUGAAGGCUUUCGGGUCGUAAAACUCUGUUGUUAGGGGAGAACAAGUGCUAGUUGAAUAAGCUGGCACCUUGACGGUACCUAACCAGAAAGCCACGGCUAACUACGUGCCAGCCGCCGCGGUAA